UACAGAGGUCCCAAGCGUUGUUCGGAUUCACUGGGCGUAAAGGUUGCGUAGGUGGUGAGGUAAGUUUGAUGUGAAAUCUCCGGGCUCAACCCGGAAAUGGCAUUGAAUACUAUCUUGCUAGAGGAGUGGAGGGGGGACUGGAAUACUUGGUGUAGCAGUGAAAUGCGUAGAUAUUGGGAGGAACACCAGUGGCGAAGGCGGCUCGCUGGACCGGUUCUGACGCUGAGGCGCGAAAGCGUGGGGAGCAAACGGG
rnacentral:rRNA from 1 species